rnacentral:lncRNA from 1 species
AAUGGAGUGUACUCAUUGGAAGGAGAGGAAGUAGUUGGGUAAGUAGUUUUAGCUUCUAUAAGAAAUAUGUCAAGAAUUGAGUUGUGGCAUAGAAGGUUAGGACAUGUGAGUUAAAUAGGUCUGGUGGAGCUCUGUAAACAAGGUCUACUAUGUGGUGACAAAGUGGAGAAACUGAAUUUCUAUAUAAAAAUUAUGUUUAUGGCAAGGGAUAUAGAGCAAAGUUUGGAGCUGGUCAACAAAAAACUAAAGGAACCUUGGAUUUGAUACAUGUU